UUCCAUCAUGUGCCCCAGCUUAAGGAUUGUUACGUCCACGUCAAUUAAUGAGGCUAGAUCUAACGCUCCGUGUUUUCUUUUUAAUUUUAUUGAUUUUUCUUUUUUCACUUUUAAUUGCAUUUUAUUUUAAAAUUCAUAGAAAAUUCAUUUUGCAUCAAAAAAAUACCAAAAUAAUUUUUAAAAUUUUAUUUUAUUUUUCUUCUUCUGAUUCUUAUUUUUCAACAUUUUCUUUUCUUGAUUUUCUAUUUUUUAUGGUUUUUCUCUUUUUUCAUUUAUUUUGAUUGGUU
rnacentral:lncRNA from 1 species